UACGAAGGGUGCUAGCGUUGUUCGGAAUCACUGGGCGUAAAGCGCGCGUAGGCGGCUUUGCAAGUCAGAGGUGAAAGCCUGGAGCUCAACUCCAGAACUGCCUUUGAAACUGCGAAGCUUGAGUGUCGGAGGGGAUAGCGGAAUUGCUAAUGUAGAGGUGAAAUUCGUAGAUAUUAGCAGGAACACCGGUGGCGAAGGCGGCUAUCUGGACGACAACUGACGCUGAGGCGCGAAAGCGUGGGGAUCAAACAGG
rnacentral:rRNA from 1 species